GUGGGGAAUAUUGGGCAAUGGGGGAAACCCUGACCCAGCAACGCCGCGUGAGGGAAGAAGGUUUUCGGAUUGUAAACCUCUGUCCUUGGUGACGAAGGAAGUGACGGUAACCAAGGAGGAAGCCCCGGCUAACUACGUGCCAGCAGCCGCGGUAAUACGUAGGGGGCAAGCGUUGUCCGGAAUGACUGGGCGUAAAGGGCGUGUAGGCGGCCGAUUAAGUCUGGAGUGAAAGUCCUGCUUUCAAGGUGGGAAUUGCGUUGGAGACUGGUUGGCUUGAGUGCGGAAGAGGUGAGUGGAAUUCCCAGUGUAGCGGUGAAAUGCGUAGAGAUUGGGAGUAACACCAGUGGCGAAGGCGACUUACUGGGCCGUAACUGACGCUGAGGCGCGAAAGCGUGGGGAGCGAACAGGAUUAGAUACCCCUGUAGUCC
rnacentral:rRNA from 1 species